AGUGAACGCUGGCGGUAGGCCUAGCACAUGCAAGUCGAACGGCAGCACAGGAGAGCUUGCUCUCUGGGUGGCGAGUGGCGGACGGGUGAGGAAUACAUCGGAAUCUACUUUUUCGUGGGGGAUAACGUAGGGAAACUUACGCUAAUACCGCAUACGACCUACGGGUGAAAGCAGGGGACCUUCGGGCCUUGCGCGAUUGAAUGAGCCGAUGUCGGAUUAGCUAGUUGGCGGGGUAAAGGCCCACCAAGGCGACGAUCCGUAGCUGGUCUGAGAGGAUGAGCAGCCACACUGGAACUGAGACACGGUCCAGACUCCUACGGGAGGCAGCAGUGGGGAAUAUUGGACAAUGGGCGCAAGCCUGAUCCAGCCAUACCGCGUGGGUGAAGAAGGCCUUCGGGUUGUAAAGCCCUUUUGUUGGGAAAGAAAUCCAGCUGGCUAAUACCCGGUUGGGAUGACGGUACCCAAAGAAUAAGCACCGGCUAACUUCGUGCCAGCAGCCGCAGUAA
rnacentral:rRNA from 1 species